GCCCCUGUAGCUCAACUGGAUAGAGCAGUUCCGUCCUAAGGAAAGGGUUGUGGGUUCAAGUCCUGCCAGGGGCGC
rnacentral:tRNA from 1 species